GAUCCCUUGGUGUAGUGGUAGCACGUCUGUUUUACACGCAGCCGGUCGCCGGUUCGAACCCGGCAGGGAUCA
rnacentral:tRNA from 1 species